GACGAACGCUGGCGGCGUGCUUAACACAUGCAAGUCGAACGGAAAGGCUCUGCUUUUGUGGGGUGCUCGAGUGGCGAACGGGUGAGUAACACGUGAGUAACCUGCCCUUGACUUUGGGAUAACUUCAGGAAACUGGGGCUAAUACCGGAUAGGAGCUCCUGCUGCAUGGUGGGGGUUGGAAAGUUUCGGCGGUUGGGGAUGGACUCGCGGCUUAUCAGCUUGUUGGUGGGGUAGUGGCUUACCAAGGCUUUGACGGGUAGCCGGCCUGAGAGGGUGACCGGCCACAUUGGGACUGAGAGACGGCCCAGACUCCUACGGGAGGCAGCAGUGGGGAAUAUUGCACAAUGGGCGGAAGCCUGAUGCAGCAACGCCGCGUGCGGGAUGACGGCCUUCGGGUUGUAAACCGCUUUCGCCUGUGACGAAGCGUGAGUGACGGUAAUGGGUAAAGAAGCACCGGCUAACUACGUG
rnacentral:rRNA from 1 species